UUACCUGGGGUGUUCGACAUCACCUGUUAUUUUUGAACCUACAAAUUCUUAAACAGGGUCUCCUAGAUCUUCUGACCGGCUGUCAGGCCUCAUUUUUAUCAGUGGAAGGCAAAAGGCAGAAUGCGGUUACCCACCUGGCUAUAGCUAGGGAGUCAAAAGGCAGGCACGGCAUCUCGGGCUUU
rnacentral:other from 1 species